UCACAGUGCGCAGAUGCGGAAGUGACGCCUUUAGAUGGUGGGGUUGUAGUCUGUGCAGGAAAUUGUGGUGGUGGUGGUUUAGCUGUUAGCUGGUCAAUCUGUGCGACAGACAUGUGGAAGACUUGUUAAUGUCCACGAGUGGCUAUUUAGCUAGUUCAUUCAGCAGAAAAAACAAACAUUGUCUUUAAUUCGUUCAACGCCACCUCGGGCUUCUGUUUGUGGCGGUUGAAUUUCACCUGCGUGUUGUAGCUGAAUCAGAAAUCAUCGGAGCAGCGGAACAAGGCAAGGAGAGAUGUCGCACUAUUCGUCCUCCCGUAGUUCGUCUCGGGCGACCGACUGUAAAGUGUACGUGGGUGACUUGGGUAACGGUGCUGCCAAGGGGGAGCUGGAGCGAGCAUUCAGUUAUUAUGGCCCACUGAGAACUGUCUGGGUGGCCAGAAACCCACCUGGCUUUGCCUUUGUGGAAUUUGAGGAUGCCAGAGAUGCAGAAGAUGCUGUGAAAGGCAUGGAUGGAAAGGUCCUUUGUGGUUCCCGUGUUCGCGUGGAGCUGUCAACGGGCCUCUCCAGGAAGGGCCGAGGGCGCCCCAGCCGACGCCAGUUCGACCCCAAUGAUCGGUGUUACCAGUGUGGGGACCGGGGCCACUACGCCUACGACUGCUACCGCUUUAGCAAGCGCGGAGGCCGUCGCAGCAGGUCUCGAUCUCACUCCAGGUCUAGGUCCAGGUCCCGCGGGCGCCGUUACCGCUCUCGCUCCCACAGCCGUAGCCGUAGCCACAGCCGGAGCCGUCGUCGAUCUCCAUCCUAUUCCAGACGCAGGAGCAGGUCUGGCUCUCCAGCCCGUUCCAAGUCCAGGACUCCAGUGAGAAGUCGUUCCAGAUCUCGGUCCGGCUCUGCGCCCAGACGACGCUCUCCCUCCCGAUCUCGCUCACGAUCUCCAGCAGCCAAUCACAAGAGGAACAGCGUGUGGUGGGAGCUGAGCACCGCACUGACACCACAGCUGAUCCCAGGCCCAGGGUCUGCCAGCUGGCGGUGUGUACGUCCUGCGGGAGGGUGACUAAGCGCUGACCUGAGAUCAGCCUUCGUCUGCAUCUGGUGUUAGACAGCGAGAAAGAGGUCGACCUACCGACCGAACCCUCCCCACAGUGAAUGGGUGACCGUCUGUUCAACCGACGCACACGCUAAGACGAGAUCAGCCCGUGCACACAUACAGUUGUUCUACUAGAGUUCUACUAGAGUCACCCAGCCAGCCAGCCUUCAGAUGUACCAGAGGGCUGACCCACACAGAUCAGAGUUCGACCGCUACCUUUUUAAAUCCAUUACCUACCUACCAGACCCCCCUACCUACCAGAGUUCUUCGGCCUCUGUCUUAGCUUCUGAAAGAGAGCUGACGAGAGAUCAGUCUUCAAGAGCCUCCCAGCGCAGUGUCUCUCCGAGUUGUAGUCGUCCGUCCUACAGUCCUUUCAUCCUUCGCUUCUCUGUACUUGUUGUUUCUGCCACUGUCUCCAAAGUCGUUCCCGUACAGCAAGUCCACACCGAAGCCCCACGCCGGCAGACGACUGAGUGAAGAAGACUUAUUAGUUCCUUAACUACUCUGCACCCCGUCUGCUUUCACAGCCCUACAGCAGCUGUUUUUUUGUACUUUGUCUGUUUAGUCCCAGUCUUUUUUAAGAUUAUUUUUCUCCCCAGGACUAGUAGUCUUCGUGCAGCCUCAGAUUGUUGAAGAUUUAGUCAGUUUAGCAGACAAAAAUCAGUUUCCAUUUGAUAUAAGUGUACUGCUGCUGCAUAGGUCCUCUUUCUUCUCUGAAGACGCGUGCUGUAGCAAGUGUAAGAAGCAACACCUGUGUUAAGGUGAUACUGAAUGUUGCCAUUGGCUUUUAGCAGUGAUAUGAGUAGCUUGUACAGUACACUUUCUGUGGAAGAUAGCCCAGUUGAUGCAGCGUUUGAGAGUGUAAACUGCUUUUAUUCCCUAAAAUUUCUAAACCAUCAAAACAUUUUCCCCAUUGAGAAUCGGCAAACAAUUUUUUUUUUUUUUUUUUUUUUUUUUUUAUUGCUCUCCAAUUUGAAUUUUUAGGUUAAAAUGCUGUUUAAUGUUUCCACUCAUGAUGGCAUAAGGAGGUAGUUGCUGGCCCGCAUGCCUUUUGAAUAUGUAGUCACAUUCCUGUUUGUUGUUUCUGUGCUGCACUGCCCCCUUAAAUGAACCUGAUCAGCUUUACUUUGUGCUGAAUGAAUUUUCCCCAUGUGUUGAAUCUCUGAUUUUGUUUAUGACUUAAUUUUAAAAUAUAUACAGUGCUGAAGUUUGAUUUCUGUAAGGGCUGCUUUAACAGUUUUGUUCUGUUCUUUGCUUAUACUGUAAGACAGUGGCAGUUUCAGUUUUGAAUAAAUCCCUUCAAUGUAC